rnacentral:misc_RNA from 1 species
GAAUUGCGAUAAGUAGUGUGAAUUGCAGAAUUCAGUGAAUCAUCGAAUCUUUGAACGCACAUUGCGCCCUUUGGUAUUCCUUAGGGCAUGCCUGUUCGAGCGUCAUCUAAACCUUCAAGCCCUGCUUGGUGUUGGGUGCCUGUCCCGCCUCCGCGCGCGGACUCACCUCAAAUCCAUUGGCGGCCCCCGCGUCGGCCACGAGCGCAGCAGAAACGCGAACUCGUGAGCCCGUCCGGGCGGCUCCCAGAAGCUACACCCACCCAGUUUGACCUCGGAUCAGGUAGGGAUACCCGCUGAACUUAAGC